rnacentral:rRNA from 1 species
UACGAAGGGGGCUAGCGUUGCUCGGAAUUACUGGGCGUAAAGGGCGCGUAGGCGGUUCUGUUAGUCAGGCGUGAAAUUCCUGGGCUCAACCUGGGGACUGCGCUUGAUACGGCGGAGCUUGAGGGCAGGAGAGGCUCGCGGAAUUCCCAGUGUAGAGGUGAAAUUCGUAGAUAUUGGGAAGAACACCGGUGGCGAAGGCGGCGAGCUGGCCUGUUACUGACGCUGAGGCGCGACAGCGUGGGGAGCAAACAGGAUUAGAUACCCCCGUAGUCC